rnacentral:sRNA from 1 species
GAAAAAACAGCGGCUUUGCUUCCUCCGUUCCCUGAUUUUCAGAUGCCUGACACGUAGCUGCUAAUAUACUAAUCUUAGUUUUUGAGGACGGUGUAGAUAUGUUAAAGGCUUGGAUUCAAUCAUGACUAAAACAUUACCUGUAU